rfam:Streptococcus suis 05ZYH33, complete genome.
UUAAGUGACGAUAGCCUAGGAGAUACACCUGUACCCAUGCCGAACACAGCAGUUAAGCCCUAGAACGCCUGAAGUAGUUGGGGGUUGCCCCCUGUUAGAUACGGUAGUCGCUUAGC